GAACUAAUGUGCGAAUAUUUACCGUUUUCGGAAGUGCACCACAUGGAAGGGCCCAACCUCAACGGCCAGGGCUGUUUGGUUGUUAUACCCGAUACUCAAAGUGUAAAUAGGGUAUAGCCACGUCUGGCUUUCCUUCCGUCUGUUCGUCCGGCUUGUUGAGCGCCGGAUCUCAGAGACCAUAAAAGCUUAGGGCGAAAAAUGGCGAAAAUCUGCUGUAUGCACAAUUUUAAAGAUAAAAGAAAACUACAAAUGUCAUUCCGUAGGGAAGGACUAUAUCUUUCAGAUCACCGAAUUGGGAUCAGAUUCGAUCAUUAUUAAUGAAGAAAUGAAUUUUCAGUGUCGACCCACACCCUGUCCAGCAGCUUUUUUUUAUAUUUUGCAUAUUUAGCUAAAAGAGC
rnacentral:lncRNA from 1 species